GACGAACGCUGGCGGCGUGCUUAACACCUGCAAGUCGAACGAUGAUCCGGUGCUUGCACCGUGGAUUAGUGGCGAACGGGUGAGUAACACGUGAGUAACCUGCCCUGGACUCUGGGAUAACCCCGAGAAAUCGGAGCUAAUACCGGAUAGGACCUCGAAUCGCUUGGUUUGGGGUGGCAAGUUUUUCGGCCUGGGGUGGACUCGCGGCCUAUCAGCUUGUUGGUGAGGUAAUGGCUCACCAAGGCGUCGACGGGUAGCCGGCCUGAGAGGUUGACCGGCCACACUGGGACUGAGACACGGCCCAGACUCCUACGGGAGGCAGCAGUGGGGUAUAUUGCACAAUGGGCGCAAGCCUGAUGCAGCAACGCCGCGUGAGGGAUGACGGCCUUCGGGUUGUAAACCUCUUUUAGUAGGGAAGAAGGGCUUCGGCUUGACGGUACCUGCAGAAAAAGGACCGGCUAACUACGUGCCAGCCGCCGCCGUAACAC
rnacentral:rRNA from 1 species